AGUGAACGCUGGCGGUAGGCCUAACACAUGCAAGUCGAACGGCAGCACAGUGAGAGCUUGCUCUUACGGGUGGCGAGUGGCGGACGGGUGAGGAAUACAUCGGAAUCUACUUUUUCGUGGGGGAUAACGUAGGGAAACUUACGCUAAUACCGCAUACGACCUACGGGUGAAAGCAGGGGAUCUUCGGACCUUGCGCGAUUGAAUGAGCCGAUGUCGGAUUAGCUAGUUGGCGGGGUAAAGGCCCACCAAGGCGACGAUCCGUAGCUGGUCUGAGAGGAUGAUCGGCAACACUGGAACUGAGACACGGUCAAGACUCCUACGGGAGGCAGAAGUGGGGAAUAUUGGACAAUGGGCGCAAGCCUGAUCCAGCCAUACCGCGUGGGUGAAGAAGGUCUUCGGGUUGUAAAGCCCUUUUGUUGGGAAAGAAAAGCAGCAGGUUAAUAACCCGCUGUUCUGACGGUACCCAAAGAAUAAGCACCGGCUAACUUCGUG
rnacentral:rRNA from 1 species